rnacentral:rRNA from 1 species
AUUGAACGCUGGCGGCAGGCCUAACACAUGCAAGUCGAACGGAAAGGCCCUGCUUUUGUGGGGUGCUCGAGUGGCGAACGGGUGAGUAACACGUGAGUAACCUGCCCUUGACUUUGGGAUAACUUCAGGAAACUGGGGCUAAUACCGGAUAGGAGCUCCUGCUGCAUGGUGGGGGUUGGAAAGUUUCGGCGGUUGGGGAUGGACUCGCGGCUUAUCAGCUUGUUGGUGGGGUAGUGGCUUACCAAGGCUUUGACGGGUAGCCGGCCUGAGAGGGUGACCGGCCACAUUGGGACUGAGAUACGGCCCAGACUCCUACGGGAGGCAGCAGUGGGGAAUAUUGCACAAUGGGCGGAAGCCUGAUGCAGCAACGCCGCGUGCGGGAUGACGGCCUUCGGGUUGUAAACCGCUUUCGCCUGUGACGAAGCGUGAGUGACGGUAAUGGGUAAAGAAGCACCGGCUAACUACGUG